GAUGCAUCGAAAGGACUCAAAUUGGAAGAGAUAGCAAACGGUGGUCGAUGGUUGAAUGGGCCCGACUUUUUGUGGAAAGAUAAGUCAUGUUGGCCAGCGAAAGUUUCUCAUACGGUCAUAGAGGACGAUGACCCUGCAUUGCGAAAGGCGAAUUUGGUUUACACAACGAGUGCAAGUGAAAGCCCGUUGGAAUCGUUGAUUAAGCGUUAUUCAAGCUGGUGGAAGCUGAAGAGAGUGGUGGCUUGGCUUUUGCGUUACCGAAGGAAUUUGAUGAAAAGAGUUAAAGAGAAGAUUGUUGAGAAUGUGAACGAUAACUUGCGUGGCGAAGAAAGAGUACCAAACCUCACAGUCGAAGAGCUUCGAAAUGCAGAGCUAAACAUUGUACGAUAUGUGCAGUCGACAUCAUUCCCUGCGGUGAUAAAGAUACUCGGAUCUCAACCAGCCAAAAUUGGAACAAAUCAGAAGAAAACGCUCAAAGAUAGCUCACUACAGAAAUUAAAUCCCGAGUUAAAAGAUGGCACGCUGGUGGUUGGUGGGCGACUGAAGCACGCAGGAGUGAAUGACGAAGCGAAGCAUCCAAUAAUUUUGCCGUAUACGCAUCGAGUGACUGACUUGGUUAUCGAGCAGGUUCAUAUUGAAGUCGGACAUAUGGGUCAAGAAUCGGUACUUUCGGCUUUGAGAGAGCAUUAUUGGAUUGUGAAAGGAAGAUCGGCAGUGCGACAAGUUAUCUCUCGCUGUUUGGAAUGCCAGAAAGCAAAGAAUAAGCCUGGAAAGCAACUAAUGGCAGAUCUCCCUGAAGAGAGAGUGACCCCAUACAAACCACCAUUUACCGCAACAGGAGUGGACUAUUUUGGACCUUUGGAGGUGAAGCAACGAAGAAGCAAAGUAAAACGGUAUGGUUGCAUAUUUACUUGCUUGUCGGUGAGGGCUGUCCACAUCGAGAUAGCCCAUUCGUUAGACACUGAUUCAAUGAUCAAUGCCUUGAGAAGGUUUAUCUGCCUACGUGGGUGCCCAGAGAUAAUUCGAAGUGACCGUGGAACAAAUUUUAAAGGUGCCGACAAGGAGUUGACAGCUGCAAUACAGAAAUGGAACCAAGAGAAAAUCGAGAACUUUUGUAACCAAAAGGGUAUUCAGUGGUUAUUCAAUCCACCAGACGCAAGUCACUUUGGUGGAGUUUGGGAACGAUGAUUAGAUCAACACGCCAAGUCUUGCGAGCUUUAAUGAAAGAACAAGUGGUAUGUGAUGAAGUUUUGGCGACAGUUAUGUCAGAAGCGACGAAUAUUCUGAACAGCCGUCCACUGACGCGCAACAGUGAUGAUCCAAGCGACGAACAACCCAUAACACCCAAUCAUCUACUAAAAUUGAGACCAUGUCCCACUCUACCACCUGGAAUUUUUGAUGAUUCAGAUCUACACACUCAGCGCCGUUGGAGACAAGCCCAAUAUAUGGUGAAUGUGUUCUGGAAGAGGUGGUUGAAGGAAUAUCUUCCUUCUCUACAAGAGCGCCAGAAGUGGAAUAACAAGCAACCAAACUGGAAAGUUGAUGAUCUAGUGCUGAUUAUGGAUGGAAAUUAUCCUAGAGGACAAUGGCCUGUUGGCAGAGUGGUGGAAAUCUUCGCGAGUGAUGACGGAUUGGUACGGACAGUUAAUGUAAAAACAAGUUCGACUGUUGUUACACGGGCGAAGCGGCAACGUCGUGGUGAAUUGAAAACAACGAGCACAAUCCUUACUCGUCCAAUACACAAGUUAUGUCGGUUGGAACUGGAAUAACAUUGUUGAAGAGACUUUGAUGUUGAUAUAUUAAGAACUACUGACAAGUUGUUGUUUAUCACUUUGUAGGAUUGGUAGCACUAAUUAGAUUAAAUGGACAAACUCGUCCAUUUAGGGGCCGGUGUAGCUACCAAUCAGUGUAUAUAUAGAGUUCAGUGGGAAAGCCGCCCCAUAAAACAUUUCGGGUUUGGACGGCCAUAUUGAAUUUUGAACACGAGAAGUAAACAUUUUGAGUAUUUAUAGAACAUAUAUUGAGGAUUUUGUUAGUAGAAACUUGCUUUAUUGAACGACCGAUACAGUCGGUAAGUUUUUGAACACUUAUUGUUGACAAUUUUAAUGUAUUUGUAUAUUAAUUUUAGUUUAACUUGCAGAAAACCUGCUGUUUAUAUUGGUGGAAAUAGUAAUAUACGAUAUAAAGUGGAAAAUAAUAGUGGAAAAUUGGCGUAUAUUUGUUGAGUUUUGACUAUCGAUCGUACGGG
rnacentral:lncRNA from 1 species